rnacentral:rRNA from 1 species
GUUAUAUGGUCAAGCGAAUAAGCGCACACGGUGGAUGCCUAGGCGGUCAGAGGCGAUGAAGGACGUGGUAGCCUGCGAAAAGUGUCGGGGAGCUGGCAACAAGCUUUGAUCCGGCAAUAUCCGAAUGGGGAAACCCACUGCUUCGGCAGUAUCCUGCAGUGAAUUCAUAGCUGCUGGAAGCGAACCCGGUGAACUGAAAUAUCUAAGUAACCGGAGGAAAAGAAAUCAACCGAGAUUCCCUAAGUAGUGACGAGCGAACGGGGAGCAGCCCUUAAGCUGGAAUGGCUUUAGAAAAACAAUCUGGAAAGAUUGGCCAUAGAAGGUGAUAGCCCUGUAUUUAAAAGGGCCACUCCAGUGAAGACGAGUAGGGCGGGGCACGUGAAACCCUGUCUGAAUAUGGGGGGACCAUCCUCCAAGGCUAAAUACUCCUGACCGACCGAUAGUGAACCAGUACCGUGAGGGAAAGGCGAAAAGAACCCCGGAGAGGGGAGUGAAAUAGAUCCUGAAACCGUGUGCGUACAAGCAGUAGGAGCUCGCAAGAGUGACUGCGUACCUUUUGUAUAAUGGGUCAGCGACUUACUGUUCGUGGCAAGCUUAACCGUAUAGGGGAGGCGAAGGGAAACCGAGUCUGAUAAGGGCGCAUAGUCGCGGGCAGUAGACCCGAAACCGGGUGAUCUAGUCAUGGCCAGGGUGAAGGUGCCGUAACAGGUACUGGAGGCCCGAACCCACGUCUGUUGCAAAAGACGGGGAUGAGCUGUGAUUAGGAGUGAAAAGCUAAUCGAACCCGGAGAUAGCUGGUUCUCCUCGAAAGCUAUUUAGGUAGCGCCUCAUAUGUAUCCUCUCGGGGGUAGAGCACUGUUAUGGCUAGGGGGUCAUCGCGACUUACCAAACCAUUGCAAACUCCGAAUACCGAGACGGACUGUAUGGGAGACACACGGCGGGUGCUAACGUCCGUCGUGAAAAGGGAAACAACCCAGACCCACAGCUAAGGUCCCAAAUUCACUGCUAAGUGGAAAACGAUGUGGAAAGGCAUAGACAGCCAGGAGGUUGGCUUAGAAGCAGCCACCCUUUAAAGAAAGCGUAAUAGCUCACUGGUCGAGUCGGUCUGCGCGGAAGAUUUAACGGGGCUAAGCAGUGAACCGAAGCUUGGGGUGCAUAAAACGUGUUUUAUGCGCGGUAGAGGAGCGUUCCGUAAGCCUGCGAAGGUGGAUUGAGAAGUCUGCUGGAGGUAUCGGAAGUGCGAAUGCUGACAUGAGUAACGAUAAUGCGGGUGAAAAGCCCGCACGCCGAAAGCCCAAGGUUUCCUUGCGCAACGUUAAUCGACGCAGGGUUAGUCGGUCCCUAAGGCGAGGGCUAAAGCCGUAGUCGAUGGGAAGCAGGUUAAUAUUCCUGCACCUCGCGUGAGUGCGAUGGAGGGACGGAGAAGGUUAGGUGUACCGGGCGUUGGUUGUCCCGGGGAAAGGCGGUAGGUUUGGAUCUUUGGCAAAUCCGGGAUCCUUUAAGACCGAGCACCGAGACGAGCCUUUUUGGCGAAGUCACUGAUACCACGCUUCCAGGAAAAGCUCCUAAGCUUCAGCUCACGAAGACCGUACCGUAAACCGACACAGGUGGGUAGGAUGAGAAUUCUCAGGCGCUUGAGAGAACUCGGGUGAAGGAACUAGGCAACAUGGCACCGUAACUUCGGGAGAAGGUGCACCCUUUUUGGUGGCUCAUGCGAGCUAUAGCUGAAGAGGGUCGCAGAAACCAGGCCGCUGCGACUGUUUAUCAAAAACACAGCACUCUGCAAACACGAAAGUGGACGUAUAGGGUGUGACGCCUGCCCGGUGCUGGAAGGUUAAUUGAUGGGGUCAGCCGCAAGGCGAAGCUCUUGAUCGAAGCCCCAGUAAACGGCGGCCGUAACUAUAACGGUCCUAAGGUAGCGAAAUUCCUUGUCGGGUAAGUUCCGACC